GAUGAACGCUGGCGGCGUGCCUAAUGCAUGCAAGUCGAGCGAACGGACGAGAAGCUUGCUUCUCUAAUGUUAGCGGCGGACGGGUGAGUAACACGUGGAUAACCUACCUAUAAGACUGGGAUAACUUCGGGAAACCGUAGCUAAUACCGGAUAAUAUUUUGAACCGCAUGGUUCAAAAGUGAAAGACGGUCUUGCUGUCACUUAUAGAUGGAUCCGCGCUGCAUUAGCUAGUUGGUAAGGUAACGGCUUACCAAGGCAACGAUGCAUAGCCGACCUGAGAGGGUGAUCGGCCACACUGGAACUGAGACACGGUCCAGACUCCUACGGGAGGCAGCAGUAGGGAAUCUUCCGCAAUGGGCGAAAGCCUGACGGAGCAACGCCGAGUGAGUGAUGAAGGUCUUCGGAUCGUAAAACUCUGUUAUUAGGGAAGAACAUAUGUGUAAGUAACUGUGCACAUCUUGACGGUACCUAAUCAGAAAGCCACGGCUAACUACGUG
rnacentral:rRNA from 1 species